GCUGCCCGUAGGGUCUGUCCCGUCCCGCCGGGCCCCUUACCUGCCGCCGCCAUGCGCCACAGCCUCACCCAGCUGCUGGCGGCCUCCUCCGGCGGAGCGAGCCCUUCGGGCGCCGUCUGGCCGCUAACCGGCGCGGGGCAGGCCCCGAGAGGGCGGGAUGGCGGCGGGGAAGGGGAUCCGGGCCCCGCGCGGCCCAAACAACAACAGCCGCCGCGGCGGGAAGCGGGCGCUUUGGAGCCGCGGCGGCAGGAAAAGGAACCGGAGGCGCCUGGUGGCCCGCUGGAGGUGUGGGAGCAAGAGGACUGGUUCCCGGGGCUGGAGCUGGGAGACCUACUAGAGGCGGCCCGGCCGGACUGGGACCUGGACGCGGAGCUGAGCGGCUGCUUCUGUGAGGAACCGGAGCAGCUGCCCUCGCCGGGCCAGGGCCAGAAGCCGGCGGCGCCCGGGCGGAGGAACGGCGGGACUGGGAGCCGGCUAAAAGCGGCGGCGGCCGCACGGCUGAACCGGCUGAAGAAGAAGCAAUACGUUCUGGGUCUGGAAAGCCGCCUCCAGGGCCUAGCUGCCGAGAACCGCCAGCUGCGGGACCGCAACCGUGGCUUGAGUCGCCGCCUGCGAGAGCUGGAGCGGGAAAGCAGCUACCUGCGGGCCGUGCUGGCUAAUCAGAGCGCCCUGGGGCAGCUCCUGAGCCGCUUAGCCGGGAUCCGUGCCGGCGGGCUGCAGCUCAGCACUAGCCUCUUCAGGGACAUGGGCAGCCCCCGCCGCCAUCACCACCACCUCCAGCCCGCCGGAGAGAGCAGCGACCAUGACUACGCCCUGCCCAGCUCUCGGCCUCCGAGCCUGGAGGACGCGGCGGUGGGGACGGAGGCGGACGAGGAGUGGGCGGCCCCCGGCGGGAUCUGCCUUCACGUGGACCGGGAUCAGGUGUCGGUGGAGUUUUGCUCCAUCUGUGCUCGGCGGGCAGCGGCCUCCUUCAAAAUGUAGGGUCAAGUACCUGCUGCAAGUACUCGUGGGGUUGUCGUCCCUAGGGGCCUCGCGUCGUGGCGGAGGAAGCAGGCGAUGUUUCUCUUUUAGGUGCUUGCCCUGCCAGGCUCCGUUGUGUAGGGGUUAAAGAACAGUCGUUUUCCACCUCGCAACCUGUGGAUUCAGCUGUGUUGGGGCAGAAGAGACGGGACCAGCUGCUGACCACAUUUCCUGCUUUAUUUUAAAAGGUAGUAUGAGAAAUGUGAAUAAAGAGGUAACAGGGCUUUUGCUGUCUUUGGUAUAAAACAAAAAAAGUUGAAUGCUGGAAUCAUUUACUGUUAUCCAAGAUGGUUUUUAGAAGACAGUAUCCUAUCAAAUAGGUUUUAUUCCACUGUAUGCAGAAUUCCAUCUGUUCGGGAUAUACUGGCAGCACAAAAGAGACUUAGUGAGGUGUGUUUUACCUUUACACCUCCAUGGUGGCAUGAACAGGACCGUUCAAAGGUUCCACCUUAAACUGGGUAACCCUGCUGUAGCUGAUGGGUUACACCAGUGCCACAGGAAUCAGACCUGUACUGACUGAUAUGCAACAUGGAAAUAAUUGAGUUAGGCUAGGCCUAGGCUCAAUCUGCUAAACUCAGAGUUGUUGAAUGGACUUUGUUUUGAAGUCAAACAUAUUUGAUGAAAAGAGAAGCACAAAUAUAGCAAGUAUGGGAUGUUACAAUGGCAUUUUUUAUGGUUACUUCAGUGUAGAAGUGGUUUUUGAGUUAAGUUAAAUAGGCAUUCUUUCUUUUGCAUCACUGCUAAACAGUAGAGGUCAGGCAUGCAGUUCUGGUCUCUGUUGUGAACCUGCACAUUGCUCUAAUGAAACUACCUGUGAGCUGUGUCUGAGAGUAGCUGAUUUUCUGACAUGCAAAGUGAUGUGUACUGGUACAAGAACAAGGUCACGUCCCGAGGAAGUAGGUGGCUGCAGGCAUUUCUAGUGCCUACUGAUUCAUACUUAAACCAAACAGAGGGGAGGAAAUGAUUUGAAACUCUUAAGCGACUGUACUAUCUGUAUGGUGUAUUAUUAAUGUAGCUUUUUGAAGUGGAAGCCUUGAAAUGAUAUAACUUAAUACUUGAAAAUACAUUGUAAAUGUUUCUUUGUAAUUACAUGCCACCCAGAUGAGAAUACAAUAUCGUAAUAAAAUCAGACUUGUUCUUUCAA